AUUGAACGCUGGCGGCAUGCCUUACACAUGCAAGUCGAACGGUAACGGGCCUUCGGGUGCCGACGAGUGGCGAACGGGUGAGUAAUGUAUCGGAACGUACCUUUCAGUGGGGGAUAACGUAGCGAAAGUUACGCUAAUACCGCAUAUUCUGUGAGCAGGAAAGCGGGGGAUCGCAAGACCUUGCGCUGAUUGAGCGGCCGAUAUCAGAUUAGCUAGUUGGUGAGGUAAAGGCUCACCAAGGCGACGAUCUGUAGCGGGUCUGAGAGGAUGAUCCGCCACACUGGAACUGAGACACGGUCCAGACUCCUACGGGAGGCAGCAGUGGGGAAUUUUGGACAAUGGGGGCAACCCUGAUCCAGCCAUGCCGCGUGAGUGAAGAAGGCCUUCGGGUUGUAAAGCUCUUUCGGCCGGGAAGAAAUCGUAUGGGUUAGUACCCUGUGCGGAUGACGGUACCGGCAUAAGAAGCACCGGCUAACUACGUG
rnacentral:rRNA from 1 species